CACAGAAUUUUUUAAAAGUCAACUGCAAUGAGCCCUCCCCAUAGUUCUCUGGAGCUCCAGUUUGGGCCAUUACCCAAAAGCUCUUCUGAUCAAGACCUACAUAUGACUGUUCUCCAGAACACCAAGGAUGAUGAUUACGGUCAGAAGAUUUACUUAAAUGACAAUGCAAGCAAGUUCCCCAUGGACAUUGUGUCCUUUGAGGUUCCAGUGCUGUUGUCUGGGAGAAAGAUAGACCGACUGCAUCUUACCUGGCUUGCUUAAUUCAUUGCAAAAAUAGGAAAAAAAAUGUACAGAAUGUAUCCUGCAAUAUCCUAUAACAAAAUUAUGUGAUUACAAGGACAAUCUUACUUGCCUUUGAUGUUCUGAAGCUCUUCUUGCUCAUUCUCUCUCUCUAUAUAUAUACAUACACAUGAGCAAGUACCUUUUAAUCUGUGAUUUUAACCUAUGAUUUUACCGUUUGGGUAGAUCGUUCCUCAAGG